UAAUUCGUGACGUGCUUUCAUGGGCGUGCGCCGCGCGCGGACCGGAUGGAGUUGCCAUGGAAACGGAGCGCAACACUGCAAAUGUCACGAGGAAACACCCCGUUUCUCGCUGAUUUCACUGUUUUCAGGAAUGGUUUAAUGUCUUCGAAAAAGUCCGUUAGCAUUUCUACCGUUUUCAGACGACGUAUCGUCAGAAGGGAGUGUCCAAGAUUUCAAUAUUUCUGAAGGGAGCUGCUGACAGAGAUGUAGGAAGCGCUGAAAAGAUUCUUCAGUGCUGAUGGCCUGCUGCAUCCAGCAGAGUCGGAGUGAACCUACUGUAAGACAACAUCUCCAAGAUGCUAUUGACCACAAGACUAGUACAGGUUAUUAGAAACUGCACAGCACAGGACUUGCAUUGACUUGUGAGGACUUCAGAUGAUACCAGUACUCAAAAGACCUUAGAUGAUGGCAACUAUAGAUGGACAUACAAACUACCGCCACUGCAAAAAAGAUUCUAAUUUGAAAGAAGUUUAUAAUGCAUGUUCGCUACUCCCAAUUCAGAAGACUGAAUCAGCCUGUGUAUCUGAAUGUUUCUCAAACUCACUCCUCUCUGCCGCGUCUGAAUUUGGGAUUUUCCUUAGCUGUCAGUUAUAAACGUCAAAAUUAAAAGAAAUAAACAUUUGAAAUAUAUCAGUCUGUGUGUAAUGAAUAAAUAUAAUAUACAAGUUUCACUUUUUGAAUGGAAUUAGUGAAAUAAAUCAACUUUUUGAUGAUAUUCUAAUUAUAUGACCAGCACCUGUAUAUCAUUGCUCUUUUGUUGAUUUUGAUUGCUUCCAUUGUCCUCAUUUGUAAGUUGCUUUGGAUAAAAGUGUCUGCUAAAUGUAAAUGUAAUGUUAAUGUGUAUUUAACUAUAUUAAUAAAUAUUUAUCUGUAUUUUUUAUUUUGUAAUAAUGUAAAUGUAUUUGUUUUAUAUCUAUACAUGCAGUUGUAUUCAUGUAUGUAUAUUUAUUUGUCUAAUUUUUAUAUUUUAAUAAAGCAGUUUAGACUACAUGAGUGUUUUCUUUAUUCUGGAUGAAUUACAUAUUCUUUUGUGUCUAGAAAGGGUAAA